CGCACAUUGCACUCUAUUUCGGUAGAGUAUGCCUGUUUGAGAAUCUAUAGUAUUCUUUUUCCUAUUUUAUAGUUAUCGCAACUAUAGAAUAGGAGAGAUUUGAGGUUUCCCUAUAGCUUUUAGUUAAGGGUACCUUUAAAUAGAUAACUUUGAAUGGCAAGCUGAUGUUUGAACCUUCAACAUUCAUUGUAACAGUAGUCGAAUAAACCUUUUGGUUUUCUUUUGCUGUUUAAUGAUAGAAGAUUAGUCAGAUUGUUAUGAGAGGUCCAUAACCUUUAAAGACCGUCAAAAGUCUUGAACCAUGGUCUCAAAUCAGGUAGGAAGACCCGCUGAACUUAA
rnacentral:misc_RNA from 1 species